rnacentral:rRNA from 1 species
GGAGGCAGCAGUGGGGAAUAUUGCACAAUGGGCGCAAGCCUGAUGCAGCCAUGCCGCGUGUAUGAAGAAGGCCUUCGGGUUGUAAAGUACUUUCAGCAGUGAGGAAGGCGGGUACGUUAAUAGCGUGCUUGUUUGACGUUAGCUGCAGAAGAAGCACCGGCUAACUCCGUGCCAGCAGCCGCGGUAAUACGGAGGGUGCGAGCGUUAAUCGGAAUUACUGGGCGUAAAGCGCAUGCAGGUGGUUUGUUAAGUCAGAUGUGAAAGCCCGGGGCUCAACCUCGGAAUUGCAUUUGAAACUGGCAGACUAGAGUACUGUAGAGGGGGUAGAAUUUCAGGUGUAGCGGUGAAAUGCGUAGAGAUCUGAAGGAAUACCGGUGGCGAAGGCGGCCCCCUGGACAGAUACUGACACUCAGAUGCGAAAGCGUGGGGAGCAAACAGGAUUAGAUACCCUGGUAG